UUCCCACCUGAGGCACUGGUUAAAGAGCGCACAACAGGCCCGAUAGAGGCCUAGGUGUAUUUCUUCGGAUUUGAUGUAUAUAUAUCCUCCUUUCAAACUAACUAACUAACUAACUAGUGCUUGUUUAAGGUUCUUCGCAGAAGGAGGGUAUCAAAAAGGAGUUGGAAGAAAUCAUGAAGUUGGAAUAGCACAGUCAACUUUCAGCGAGAUUUUAUCAGAAGUUUUGACCAUUUUAGAGCAAAAUAUUUGCGACCAGUGGAUUACUUAUCCAUUGCAAGAGGAGGCUAGAUAUAUAGCCAGGAAUUUCUACAUUAAAUUUAGAAUACCUGGUGUCGUGGGAUGCAUUGAUGGAACUCACAUCAAUAUUGUGGCACCAAACGAAAAUAAGCAUUUAUAUUAUAACCGCAAGGGAAACUACAGCUUAAAUGUCACCCUUAUUUGUUUAUAUGCGAUAGUAAUAUGAGAAUUCGAUAUGUGGAAUUUAAGUUAUUAUAGAAUAGAAAUGGAGCAACAUUAUUUACAAAAAGAACAACGGGAGUGGUUAUUAGGUGACGGCGGAUAUCCCUUGGAGCCUUGGCUACUGACGCCGUAUAGGAGUCCAAUAUCUGGUUCUGUUGAACAAAAGUUCAAUGAUGUACAUUCUAAAUGUAGAAACAUAAUGGAAAGAACAAAUGGAGUACUAAAGAAUAGAUGGAGGUGUUUGCUUGGGGCUAGGCAGCUGCAUUAUGAACCUAAGAAGGCUAUUAAAAUAAUAAAUAUUUGUGUAGCAUUGCAUAAUAUUUGCAUAGCUUAUAAGUGCGAAUACAAUAGCAAUAUAUCUGAACUGACAAACUCUGAUUUAAUUGAUAUGGACACUUUCAAUUCAAAUGAAUGUAACAGCUAUCUAACUGAUGCUCAACGUAUUCGUA